GACGAACGCUGGCGGCGUGCCUAAUACAUGCAAGUCGAACGAACGGAUAAAGAGCUUGCUCUUUUGAAGUUAGUGGCGGACGGGUGAGUAACACGUGGGUAACCUGCCUCACAGCUGGGGAUAACAUCGAGAAAUCGAUGCUAAUACCGAAUGUGCUGAACAUCCUAAGAUGUUCAAGUGAAAGACGGUUUCGGCUGUCACUGUGAGAUGGACCCGCGCUGGAUUAGCUAGUUGGUAAGGUAAUGGCUUACCAAGGCGACGAUCCAUAGCCGACCUGAGAGGGUGAUCGGCCACAUUGGGACUGGACCACGGCCCAAACUCCUACGGGAGGCAGCAGUAGGGAAUCGUCGGCAAUGGACGAAAGUCUGACCGAGCAACGCCGCGUGAGCGAAGAAGGCCUUCGGGUCGUAAAGCUCUGUUGUUAGAGAAGAACAUGGGUGAGAGUAACUGUUCACCCCUUGACGGUAGCUAACCAGAAAGCCACGGCUAACUACGUG
rnacentral:rRNA from 1 species